AGUUACCAUCAUUAAGUUGGGGACGUCUAGCGAGACUGCCAGGUGAUAAACUGGAGGAAAGGUGGGGGAUGACGUCAAAUCAUCAUGCCCCUUAUGACCUGGGCUACAAACGUGAUACAAUGGCUGGAACAAAGGGAUGCGAAGCAGUGAUGUGGAGCGAAACCCAUAAAAACAGUCUCAGUUCGGAUUGAAGUCUGCAACUCGACUUCAUGAAGUCGGAAUCGCUAGUAAUCGCGGAUCAGAACGCCGCGGUGAAUACGUUCUCGGGGUUU
rnacentral:rRNA from 1 species